CCUACGGGAGGCAGCAGUGGGGAAUAUUGCACAAUGGGGGAAACCCUGAUGCAGCAACGCCGCGUGAGUGAAGAAGUAUUUCGGUAUGUAAAGCCCUAUCAGCAGGGAAGAAGAUGACGGUACCUGAUCAAGAAGCCCCGGCUAACUACGUGCCAGCAGCCGCGGUAAUACGUAGGGGGCAAGCGUUAUCCGGAUUUACUGGGUGUAAAGGGAGCGUAGACGGCAGCGCAAGUCUGGAGUGAAAUGCCGGGGCCUAACCCCGGGACUGCUUUGGAAACUGUGGAGCUGGAGUGCAGGAGAGGUAAGUGGAAUUCCUAGUGUAGCGGUGAAAUGCGUAGAUAUUAGGAGGAACACCAGUGGCGAAGGCGGCUUACUGGACUGUAACUGACGUUGAGGCUAGAAGGCGUGGGGAGCAAACAGGAUUAGAUACCCGAGUAGUC
rnacentral:rRNA from 1 species